CACACUACUUCAUUUGUGUUUUUGCAGACUUCAGAAGGGUUCAGUAUCGGGGAGGAAUGGAUCGUGUAUUUUUAAUUGCCUAGGCCGUCCCAGUUCGCGUCGUAUGUUCCUUCGGUGCACUGACUGUAUAUUGUUUUGUAAACGAGGUACGGAGAGUUCACACAAAGAAACAUUCGUUGAAGGAUGAAGCAGCCAACUGUAUUGAAUCUGACAGCAGCUGCAGCAAACCGGACCUGAGCAGUGCUGAGAUUCUCUAGGAUCAAUACUUACAGUUUGCUUGGAAGACAAACAGCAGUAUACUGAUAAAAUAAGGCCAUGGACGCUGGACAUCUCCAUCAGCGAUGAGAACAGACAGGCCACUGAGAGCAUGCUGCUGGAGGAACAGUAUUAUUUUGCCAGUAAAAAAGCACCAAAAGUGGAAUGGAAAAAUGAGAAGACUAAAGUCAAAAAGCACAGACAAAGAUUGCCAAACUAAUCGGCACUAGGACAGUUCUACAGGUGAAGAGCUAUGCUAGGCAGUACUUCAG